AUCUACGGCCAUACUAUCCUGAACACACCUGACUGGCUCUGAUCUCUGAAACUAAAUAGGGUGGGGCUUGGUUAGUACUUGGGGGAUGCCUAAGAUU
rnacentral:rRNA from 1 species